rnacentral:rRNA from 1 species
CCCUUAGAUGUUCUGGGCCGCACGCGUGCUACACUGAGUGGAUCAGCGGGUCAGGUUGCGCGAAAGUGUUUCCUAAUCUUUAAAUCCGCUCGUGAUGGGGAUUGACGGUUGCAAUUUUCCGUCAUGAACGAGGAAUACCUUGUAAGCGCGGGUCAUCAUCCCGCGCUGAAUACGUCCCUGCCCUUUGUACACACCGCCCGUCGCUCCUACCGAUUGAGUGGUCCGGUGAGGCUUUGGGAUCUGAGCGGAAAGAGCGUUUCGCUGUUUCUACUCGGAAAACUCAGUCGAACCUUAUCAUUUAGAGGAAGGAGAAGUCGUAACA